AACUAGGUCAAAUAUGCCAAAGUAACUUGGCCAAAUCUUGCCUAAUUACCCAUUCUCUUCAUUCUAUCCUAGAGUUCAAGAGUUUUUAGCAGUGUUGCCUGUUUCCUUUCUUUCUUAUCAUUUUUACAAAAAUAAUAAGUUUUGUGUCAACCAUGGGCAGAGGUUAGCUAUUUUUGGAUUUGAACUUUCUAAUCUUAUUGUUCGAGUUUGAGAAUAGACCUGCUAAUGAAGCAGCUGAGUUCACAGCCCAACUCAAGGUAUAAACAUGACACAUAUUGAUCAUCGAUGAAGUUGCUCUUAUUUAUUUUGGAUUAACUCUACUAAAGCGUAUUUGUCCUUAACAAUUAUUGAUGUAACUGAAAGUGACAGUUUUGAUCAUAUCAGAUCCAUGCAUAAUGAAACACACCGAGCAUUAAUAAAAGAUGCUCUUAUUUAUUUUGGAACAACUCAAAUAAAGCAUUCCAACUCACAUACUCGUACAUUCAAUGUACUGAUACCAGUUGUUCUGCAUCGUAUUAUGAUGCAGACACUGGUAACGGGGUCGACAUCCAGCGCAGUGGUUAUCCAAUAGAGCACUCCAGAGUCAGUUGGGUUCGGCGAUAUUGACUUUCAUCCUCAUGGCUAGGUUUAUAGUAGAUUAAGAAGAGAAGCUAUGGUGAGUCCUCAUAGCAUUCGAGGACUUGACAACCAUGUCUUUUAUAUUUCUUUUAUGUUUUGAGAUUAUUGUAUGGGUUGUGUCCCAAGAGUUAUUCAAAGUUGUUUUAGAUGGUUUGUGAUUAGGGUAAAGAGACUUCCGCUUUGCUUUUAUAAACACUUCGAUUGUAUUAAAAAUGUUAUAAAUUUUUGUACUCUUCUAUUAUCUUAUGUUAUGAUUUGCUAAGUGGAUUACAUAGAGUCCUUUGGGGUUCUAUGUAUGUUACAUCUAGGGUGUAUCUCUGGGUCGCGACACAUUUAUAGCAACACAUAGCAAUAUCAUGAUAAAUCUAUAGUAUUUAUUAAAAG